rnacentral:rRNA from 1 species
AGUGAACGCUGGCGGUAGGCCUAACACAUGCAAGUCGAACGGCAGCACAGUAAGAGCUUGCUCUUACGGGUGGCGAGUGGAGGACGGGUGAGGAAUACAUCGGAAUCUACUUUUUCGUGGGGGAUAACGUAGGGAAACUUACGCUAAUACCGCAUACGACCUACGGGUGAAAGCAGGGGAUCUUCGGACCUUGCGCGAUUGAAUGAGCCGAUGUCGGAUUGGCUAGUUGGCGGGGUAAAGGCCUACCAAGGCGACGAUCCGUAGCUGGUCUGAGAGGAUGAUCGGCCACACUGGAACUGGAACACGGUCCAGACUCCUACGGGAGGCAGCAGUGGGGAAUAUUGGACAAUGGGGGCAAGCCUGAGCCAGCCAUACCGCGUGGGUGAGGAAGGCCUUCGGGUUGUAAAGCCCUUUUGUUGGGAAAGAAAAGCAUCAGGUUAAUACCCCGCUGUUCUGACGGUACCCAAAUAAUAAGCACCGGCUAACUUCGUG